AUGAUCAAUUACACGGUUUCAACUACGGAGGUAUCGAUUCCGACAGCAGCCUCUUUGGCCUCCAUCAUCUCCAACAGCUCAAUCUUGCUUACAGUGACUUCAGGCUCGCUCCAAUCCCAUCUGGUUUUGAUCGGCUUUCAAGCUUGACCCAUCUCAACCUCUCCAAUACGUGUUUCUACGGCCAAAUACCCUGGGAAUUCUCACGCCUAACAAGGUUGGUUUCUCUUGAUCUCUUCAUCCAAAAAGGU